CGUAACACGUUUCCUUGUCACUCCUUCGUCUCGUCUAUAAUAGAGAACUGGACGGAGAACUGAUAAGGGCUUGUGGGUAA
rnacentral:pre_miRNA from 1 species